rnacentral:pre_miRNA from 1 species
UGUAACAGCAACUCCAUGUGGACUACGCUGACUUCCAGUGGAGAUGCUGUUACUUU